rnacentral:lncRNA from 1 species
CACUUCUCAGCCGGCCAGGGGAUUAGGGCACAACUCCCGGUCACAUGACGGCACACACGUGAUUCCACGGACUCGGAAGCCGGUCACAAGACGGGCGGAGCCUUGAGGGAUCCUCAGAAGUUUGUCCCUUUUUUUCCAGGGUGGUGAAGGCUGCACGUCGGUUCAGGGAGUGCAGCGUCUGUGGGCUCAGUUUCUCCAUCCGUUCAAUGGGCGCGGGAAUAUUUUGAGUUUAUUGCCAGAAAUUCCUAAAACCAAUAGUGAGAUAUGAAGGAAGAGCUGACCCAGAGACUAUCAAAAGGUGUCACCUGGGAUCUGGAGGCACCACCGCUAGGAGACAGAAUGGGUAUGGACUAAUGGAGUGGCUGCAUCUUUUGGACCACAGGAGACUAGCUUGACUUCUGGGGAUGGAUCAAGGAGAAGAAAUCAAGAUGUGCAAACUAGAAAAAAUCCCAGGCAUCCAGUAUAGUGAGAUAUCGCAGGUCGACAAGUCAUAUAUGCAGGAAAAGAACCCUUGGUGGAGUCAAGAUGGCGGCUUAGCAAGCAGCAAAAGUUCAGACCUCGUGGAAGACCCUUCCUUAACCGAUACAGACUGAAUGCUCCUAGGGCACGGAAAUUCAAGUUCAUUUGGAAGAACAAAAGAUCAAGGAUAUCCAGGGAAAUCAUGAAAAAAAAAUGCAAAGGAAGGAGGACUUGCAGUCCCAGGUC